UACAGAGGGUGCGAACGUUGUUCGGAUUUACUGGGCGUAAAGCGCGUGUAGGCGGUCUCGCAAGUCGGAUGUGAAAGCCCAGGGCUCAACCCUGGAAGUGCACUCGAUACUGCGAGGCUAGAGUCCGGAGAGGAUGGUGGAACUCUCGGUGAUAGAGGUGGAAAUUCGUAGAUAUCGAGAAGAACACCGGUGGCGAAGGCGGCC
rnacentral:rRNA from 1 species